GAUGAUUCCUGCAUUUUUCUUCAUCCAGCUUGGAGACAGAAUGGGGUAGGAAGAGGGCAUACAUUUCAGACUGCUUGGACAUCUUCUAAGCAGUAGAGGUAGAUUCGCAAGACUAAAGAUUGGAGGUUGAAGCUGAAACUGGGUUGAUUUGCUCUGCAUAAGGAUGUGGAAAGCAGCCAAAACUGGUGAAGGGAUAGAUGGAAAAACUAGGAGGAGUCUAAAGCCUGAAAAACAAGACAAUGAAAAGGAGAAGUGUAAAGGAUUCCCAUUCGUGCCUGAAGGCUGGACAGUGACUGUGGAAACAAAACGGUUUUGAGGAAGGUGGUUCGUUUGUUCUUAGUGGUUUGAUACACGAUUCUCCCCUAUUUCUCUUCUUCAUUAUACAGGAAAAUCUACAUGACUGACUAAUUAUUGGACAAACGAUAUGUAAAUCCUAAGAACAACACAAAAGCUGCUGGAAGCCAUCAGGAAGCCAAAAGCCAUGAAAGAAGCAAGAAGGAGAUCUUUGACAAUAUAGGAGAGAAGAAGUACAAUACCACCUCUUCUUACCACCUUUACUCCCUUAAUCGAUAAUUGAUUAAUGUGCCAAAAUGAUACUGUU
rnacentral:lncRNA from 1 species